AAUAAGUUGGCCAAAGUUAUGGGGCGGGGUGGGGAAGUCAGCAUUAAAGGGCAAGGAGCACUCUCAUAAGCUUCUUGGGGCAUCUACAAACCGUGAAAGGUUUACAUCCCAAUCACACUGCCCUCCAGACCCUAACGUGAGGAAACAUCCUGAACUCUGUACAAAGCGUUCUGAAUAAACUAUUCACUGAGGAGACUGCCUAAAUGCCCAGCAAUGAGUUCAGAUAACUGACAUGAUUACAGACUAAUUACAUGUAAAGUGUUCAGGCUAAAUUAGGGGAGAAAAAAAGGCUCAGAAACAAAACAAUAUGUAUGAAAUAAUAUCAACCACUUGGUGGUCGCUUCUAGGAAAUAUAAGCUCUCUUCCCAAAAUUUCUACAAUGAUCAUACAUGUUCUGAUUAUAAAAGUAAAACAAUAAGGGACCAUGACAGAGAAACUUCCGUUGCUGAAGCGUGCCCCAGCAUCUAACAGGUCCCGCCACUCAAGGCAGGUGAGGAACCACCUUUCCCCUGCUUUACUGGGGGUGGGAGUAUCGCAGGGUAAAUAAAAGCUUUCGAAGGGUCUCCCACUGUUUGAGCAUCAGUUUUCUUCCACUCAUUUUUCUAGUUCUGCAUUUAACAUUUCUUGAGUGGCUACCGUAUACUGGACACUAUAUUAGGCUGAGUUUUCGGAGCAGUAUAUUAGGCUCGCAAUAACUCUCAAAUGUGGAACACUUUUUGCCUUGCGCAUUCCUAAAAGGACAGAACCACUAUCUGGGUACCCGAAGCCCGACGAGCACACAGUAGUGCGUGGCUGCUCCCAGGGGCACUCCUGGCUUCAGUGAGACCCACCAAGAGUGGGUGAAUCACAGAAGGGUAGGGCAGCAGAGGCCCCCAGGCCCUGCGCUGGGGACUGAGUCAUUCCAAAGCCAGAGCUGCCGGAAACACGCCCAGCGCGGCAGGAGGAGGAGUCCCCAGGGCGCCACCCGAACUGCACUUCCUUGUGGCCACCUGGGCCCCUCUGGACACGGGGCCGCACUGGUACACACCAGGGGAUGGGGUGGGGGGUCUCUGGCCCGGAGCCGCACCCUUUUCGACGAUACAACACGCGUCAUCUCUGGGGCCCCGCAGUGAUGGAGGCGGCCGGGGGUCUCCGGCCUAGACCCGCUCUUAGAAAGCCCACCCAAGCCAGCGCGGGUGUAUCACGCCGAUUACUGGGAAGAGAGUGGCGGCCAGCAACCCCGUGCUUUCUCCAAGGGGCCCUCCAUCUCCUUGCUCAGAUACUAUUUUGUGUAGUCGCGAGGCCUGGAAAUUCUGCAGCUAUUUUGCUUCCAUCCUGAGAUGAAGAACAAAGAGAGAAAACGAGGCAGAAAGCGGUAACUGCAGAGAAGUAGAGCUGGAACUGCUGGAUUAAGUCUCCCGAUGCCUGUCCCACAUCUGGAUGUUCAGUUAUGUGCACCGAUACAUUUUUGUUUGGCUUAAGCACAUUCAAAUUUGGUGUUCUUGUACUUAUAGCCAAAAAACAACCCAACUGAAAAAAAAUUCAUGAAUGUAUGAGCCACUUUUGUAAGCUUAUCAUUUGUUGAAUUCCGAAAGUUCAGCAUAAUGUGUUUAACUGAAUUAGAAAUUACCGCUAUUAUGAAAUUGUGAGGCAAGGAUUAGUAUUUAAAUUAAUGCAAUAUAAACAACUAUAGAUUUGCUUCGUUAGGCCAGAGAAGGAAGCAGUUUAUGAUUCUUGCCAGAUUCUUGCUUUUUUUGCAUGAAUGGCCCCGGAGAUGAAGCAGCCUCUCAGGAAGUCCCCUCUGAGGAAACAUAUUUAAAUUCCUGGAAAGGCCUACGGUGCAAACAUAAAUAGUAUUCGAGAUAACUGUACCCUCUCUUCUUCUUUCUCCAUGGGAUGGACAGCUGCUUCUUUGACCUGUCUAGCCACCCUCCCCACUUCUUUGGGUAAUAACGCCCUGCUGCUCCUUUGGAUAACACCCUUUCCUCCAUUCCCUGGAAUCUCAGAGGGACCAGCCAUCCAGGUACCUACCACACCUGCUCCCUACCACUAGGCCCAACGGUGUGCAUGCAACUUUAGGCUAAACUCUGUCACAAGAACUCAGCUCUCUAGGGGUCUGAUGCAAGAAGGAAAAUCACUGGUGUCAUUCCUAAUAGGGACUCUUUUCUGAGUCUUGAUUCCUCCCCACCCUGGCUUUGCUUAAGGUAGCCAGGGUGAAUUUCCCUUACGUGCUGCCAAAAAUCUUAGCUGAUACUCUCCACCUAAAAAGUCCUCAAACACAACCAAGCCUUUAGGAGUUACAUUUUUAAUUUUUACUUGGCAUGUGUUACUAUAAGUCUGACAUAAAUCUCUUUAUAAUUUC